UUGGUUUCUUUUCCUCUCUUCAUCAAGUAUUCAAGUUCUACUGCCUACUCCAACAGUUGUUGCACCGUUCACAUCCAUCUUAUGAUAAUAUCCAUUAUUAAAAGAAUUUAAUGAGAAAGUUUGUAUUUGUCAAAAUACAAAGUGGUGUUGAAACAAUUCUUAUACAAUUUCAUAUUAGCCAUCACAAAGCUGAAAAUCAAUAUGAUAGAGCAACUUAAACCAUAAAAGUUCUUAUUGAAAGGGUUGAGUUGAGUGACCAUCCAGAAAAUAAAACCAUAAAAUUCUAGUGUUAUAUAAUUUCUUAAUAAAAACAAGAAUAAUAAGGGUACAAUUGUAGAUGGACAAAACUUUGUAGCAUUCCACGAGAACAAAAUAUGUCAUAUGAGAGGAAAGGUGUUUAGAACAAUCAAAACAAAAGUUUAUUUAAGUUUCAGUUUAAUCAAAUUGAACUUUAACCAACUAAACAAGAUAUCUUACUUGCACAACCUUAUCAACUGAAAUUAAGGGUAACAAAUAUUAUAGUAAUUUAUAGUAUAUGUAGUUUCUCAAUAUGCAAAUUUUGUUUUUUAAAAAUUGAAAAAUUUAUAUCUAAACUCCUACAGAAUAUAAAUUAGUUUGGUCCUCAAAUUUAAAACAAAGCAAAAGAAUUGAAACAAAGGGAGUAUCUUUUUUCAUGCUCACUAAGGAAUGAUAUCACCAUUUACACAACAAAUAACUAAAAAUCCAAGAGAGUAAUGCAAGCUUGAUGUGAGCAAUAUACCUUUGAUGUUAAGCACACAUCAGAAUGGUUUGGAUUAUGGGUGUCAAAUAGUUGUGUUGUGUAGAGUUUGUUCAAAUCAAAUGAAUUGAGUUAAUAAUUAAAAUGUUGCUUGGACAUAGUGGUUGGUCGUCGUCGUAAGUUGGCAUUAUUUGUGCACAGUUGUAGCUGGAGUGUUAUGUUUGGAUUAAAGCGUCGAUCCAUGAUUUAUUUCUCCCCCUAUUUGUUUCUGGAACUCUUUUUUAUUCCUUCGCUUGUGAGUAGCAGUGAUCUUUUAUGCUUUUAUUAUUCUUGUUGAUAUAUUGUUGGUCCCGAGGUUGUGGUCAAGGACAAGUUGGACUCCAGGUUAGUUCUUUUUGCCUUAGCAGUAUGAUUGUGUUGGUAGUGUAUUUCUGAUUGUGCUCUUGUUUGGAUGUUGGUGGUGGCAUACAUUGCAUUAGUUGCUCAUUCUCACGUGUUUUGUUGUGCGAUGCGGGUUCAUGUAUAGAAAAAUUAUUAUUAUUUCGAGAAAUAUUGUUUUCACACUGCUACUUUUUAAAACUUAUUUUAAUGGGAGUCUUACAACCUGGAUCACUUUGAUAAACUGAUUUUUGAGAUUUAUGAGGUGUCUAGGACGUGCUCCUUUACUACUUGUAAGAUUAGAGGUAUCUGGGAUGUACUUAGCUUUUUACUUAACUAGUUGGCGCGUCAUCUCCCUUUCCAACUUUGGUUUGGCUACUUGUACCUUCGGAACAAUGGUAGACUUGAUUUGAAACCACGGUGGAGAAGAUCCGAUCUCGUGAUGGUUAUUGAUAUGUUGUAAAUCUUGGCUUUAACCCAGGCAGUGUAUACGAGCUUCCCGCAUCCCAUAUGGGUCCCUCUGGUCGUGUGAAUUGCUAUACAGGAAGAGGGAAUUGGAUCGUUCCUACCUCGCUGCCGGCAGGGGUAGGUGUAUAUACUUAGUUAAUGAUAGAUCAGUUGAUUCUACUGCAUAACCUCCGUUCAUAUGCAUUUGCCUAUCACCAGUAUAAUUGGUGGUUGUUUGCACCCUUAGGUUUUAUGGGGGCUGGUUGGGAUAUGGUUCUUGUUUGUACCUUCAAGCCUUAUAGGGUCCAGUUAGGUUAUUGUUUGACUAUAUUUGUGUAUUCUUAUGAUUGUGUUGAUUGUUGUUAGGUUUGUUUGGUUAGUUCACUUCCAGAGCAUAAAUUUAUCGUGAGUAGGUUGUUGGGAUUGCGCCUCCAAGUACAUUCUUUGACUCAGUUUCCUUACUCUAUGAACCAUAUUUCUUCAUUCUUAUUGCAUGUUCUAUCAUAUUAUAUCCCAUGCUUAGAUACUUGUAAUGUACUUUCCUUACUUGUUGUUUAUAUUUGCUUUGCCUUUGGAUCUCACUUGGUCAAUGCCUACUGAGUACCGCUUGUUGGUACUCAUACUACACUUCUACACCUUGCAGAUCAUAGUACGAGGUCUAACUAUUGAUUUGGAUCUCGUGUAGAGUAGCUUUUGGGAUUCAAAGACUGGAUGAGUCCUGACAUUUGGAGUCGCUAGUUUCCAUCUACUUUUGCUAGGACUAGUCUUUAUGUUGCAUUUAGAGACAGACUGUACUUAUAUUCUAUUUUUAAAAGUCUUGUAAUCUUAUUUUGAUUAGAUGCUCAAUUACUAACUGAUGUCAGGUUUUGGGGAUGGUUUCAUAUGUUUAUUUCUUUUUUAUCUCUAUGAUAUAAGCAGCAUGUUUCUUAUUGUUAUCUUCCACGUGAUAUCCGGUUGCUUAUGUAUCCAGUCUAUGGGUUAGCCUUACCUAUUGCGAGAUGUAGUAGGUUUCACUAUGAUCUGAGAAAUCGGGUCGUGACAAACAAUUGGAAUUUAGGGUAAUGCAUGCAGAAUUUUAGGGGGAGUUUUGAUAUGGGACUGAAUUUUAAACAUCAAAGUUGUGGCGGGUCGGGUUGGGUGCUAUAUAAUUUUUUAGAUUCACGAAGACAAUCUUUGAAUCGUAGAAGGUCCUAUGAGCUAUUAAAAGGCUUCGUAAAUCAACUAUUGAGGUUUUAUUUAUGGGAAACAUACAUGAUAUCUACAAAGGCAAUCUACGUGAUGUGAUAUUGUUUACGUCUAGUAAAGAGCAUUCAUAGAUCUAAACAUGCAGGUAGUCGAUUCUCCUUAUUUCUACGGGUACCACCUAUGGUCCAUAGAAGGGACUACGACUCGUAAGUGUGGCUCACAGAAAAAGUCAUGCAGGAUCUAUUUUUUUUAAGUUCUACGAGUGGAAUCUACGAGUUGUAAAGUGAAUAAAGAUCCGUAAACCCUGCUCGCAGAUACUAAUCUACCUUAAAAUUUCCCAGCUCAUACUGCUAACAUAUUCCAAAAUCAAUCCCUACAUCUUAAUAAAAAACAAUUUACCCAAAACAAAAUUUAAAGACUAAAAAGAAAUCUUGGGUUGCCUCCCAAGCACUACUUAUUUUAACAUUACGGCACGAUAUAAGUUCUUUGGAUACCCAGAAUACACCAAAGUACCUCAUGGGUUGCCUUACCUUGAAAAGCUAGCUAAACCCCAAAAAUAUCAAGUAUCCACCGACAUCCAAAAACCAUAAACAUCCAAAACCUAAGUCAUUGACAUCCGACAUGGCAAAAACCACCACCGGUGGGGUCAUCCCACGGGAGGAUUUCCCACCCCUCCCCACGCAAGACAAACCAGUAACACUACCUCUCAAAGGAGAACUUAUCCCUAACCAAUAUGCCAAUAUUCUUAAACCAAAGAUCAAUAAUCCCCAUCCUCAUGUUUCCCCUAAACCGGUGACUUUUAUACAUGGCAAACCCAACAUAACUUGGAAAUCUUCGAAAGUCAAAUCGCUUAUAACUCAGAAGAAUCUCCAAUAUGCCAUCAUUGGCAAAUUCUCAUAUGGUAAACCAGAGGUACAAGAAUUGAGGAGAACCUUCCCAGGACAAUGUGGAAUUAAGAGUGAGUGCACAAUAGGAGUUCUGGACACGAGACACAUUUUGAUCAGGCUUACUAUGAUGGAGGAUUAUGUACACUUGUUGUCAACGGCGGCUUUUUACGUUAAGGUGAAGGAGAAUUACUGGCAGAUGAGAACUCUUAAAUGGGAUCCAUGGUUUGAACCGGACAUGGAAACUACUAUAGGGGUAGCCUGGAUUUCUUUCCCAGAUCUACCACCUAAUUUUUUCACUAAGGAGGCAAUCUUUUCGAUAGCUAGUGUGGUGGGGAAACCACUAACAGUGGACAUGGCAACGAAGAACCAAACCAAACCUAGUUGUGCAAGAGUUAAAAUAGAGGUUGACCUGACUGCGAAGCUUCCUUAGAGGGUGAGAAUAAAUGAAGAGAAUGAUGUCACUGGGCAUAUAAAAUCAAAGUGGAUUAAGGUUCAAUACGACUAUAUGCCAAAAUACUGUAAGGAAUGUCGAUUGCAGGGAUACGAUGAACAUAAUUGUUGGACGAUUCAUCCAAAAUUGUAUGACAAGAGGAGGGGAGAACAACAAAAUACGGAGAAGGAGAAGGAUACGGUCCAACUGGGUACAAUGGCAGAGCAAAAACGAAUAUUGGCAAGCGGAAAAGUGGUGGGAAAUAAACAAAAUAGACAAGAAUGGAUAGUUAGCAGAAGAAAUAGAUACAAAAUAGAAAAGGCCAGACAAAUAGAAGAGGAAAUUGAUUAUAAGGAUGAAAAUGCUUUAGAGACCCUCAAGGAGGAUGUUGAUGAAGGGGAUGUAGAGGAAAACCAGGAACCAACUAUGAAAGAGAAUACUAAGGACUGGGUUCACAGAAGUUUCCAUGGCAAGAAGGAAAAAAUUAAUAAAUAAGAUAAGGAAACAAGACAGUUUGUAGAGGGAGAGAAAACCAACCAGCAUAAAAAAGAAAGCAUGGAAAGUGAACCAAUUAAUCAAGAAGAACCAGCGACUCAAGAGGAGGGUGUCGUUAUUGAGGAGGAAAAUGCAAAGCAAAACAAAGGAACAAUGGUGGUAUAUGAAAUGGGUGAGGAGGAAACAUUACCAUUAGAUUUACAGAAUGACGUUGAUUAUAGAGACAUUGAAGAACAAAAGGAAGUCAGCGCGAAUGGAGGUGAUAUGGCGCCAAACAUUACUAAGGUGGUGAUGGAAGGGGAUCUAUCUCCUAAGCAGAUCAACAAAUUAAGGGAGGCACAUACCAAGCAGAAAAAGCAAGGAGAAAAAGAUAUUGUUGGGGCACAAGCUUCAUCUAGGCAGUCAAAGAGAACGAUAACCAAAAACUUUAAGUAUAAAUGAGAGCUCUAAUCUGGAAUAUUAGGUCUGUAAAUACACAAAAGGCGUUUACUAGAUUAAUCCAAAUGCAUAAAAAAUAACAAUUUUAUUUUGUCGGAUUGGUGGAACCAUUUGAAGAUCGGCAAGGGCUUGAAGAAUGUAGGAGAAGAUUGGGAAUGCAACAUGCAGCUGCGAACUCAAACGGGAAGAUCUGGGUAUUCAUAGAUGGGGACAUGAAGUAUGAGAUUAAAAGGGAUCAAGACCAAAUGUUAACCCUGAAACUGCAGCACCAGGGAUUGGGAAUAGAGGUGAUGAUAUCAAUAGUAUAUGCCAAGUGUACUCAGGGACAGAGACUAACAUUAUGGGAAUCUACUUCUGAGUUAGCAAGUAUAGUGAAUAUUCCAUGGUUAAUUGGGGAAACUUCAAUGUAAUUAGCAAUGAGAAUGAGAAGCUGGGGGGCAGAGCAGUAACGGAGGAAGAAGUAAGAGAUUUCAACCACAUCAUAAAUGUGAGCAACAUAGAGGAUAGGGGGUUUCGAGGUAGCAAGUACACUUGGUGGAAUGGGAGAAUUGACGAGGAGUGUAUAUUUAAAAGGUUGGAUAGGGUCUUAACUAAUGAGAAGAUGCACGACAUUUUCCCUAUUUUAGAGGUUGAACAUUUAGUGAGAAGUGGUUCUGACCACGCACCGUUAUCAAUAACAUGUGAAAUGAGCAGGGAGGAGGUGAGAAAACCAUUCAUAUUUUUAAAUUUCUGGUUAGAGGAGGAUUCGUUCAUAAAGCUAAUUCGGAAUCAGUGGAAGGCAGAUUUUGAAGGCGACCCCUUUAUUAUGUUCCAUCAUAAAAUUAAAAGGGUCAAGAAAGCUUUAACUCAAUGGAGCAAAGAUACAUUCGGUAAUAUUUUUCAAGAAAUAGCUAUGCUCUAGGAAGUUAUACGGGUACAUGAAGUGCAAUUUGAAGUUACCCCGACACCAGGGAAUAGAGAAAGUCUGCACAGAGCUCAAGCUGACUUAAAAAAACAACUAAAUAGGGAGGAGAAUUUCUGGAAACAAAAAGCAGGGAUGGAGUGGUUUAAAGAUGGAGAAAGAAACAGAAAGUUCUUUCAUACCAUAGUCAAAGGCAGAAGAAACAGACUACGGUUUAAUAGGAUUCAAAAUGAAGAAGGUGAAUAGUUGGAGCAACAAGCGGAUAUUGCAGAAGCGACGGUGGAAUUCUAUAUCAAACAGUUCACUAGGCAAGAAGAAUCGUGUCAAGACUUUGGUAUGUUAGAGGAGCUGCCAAUGGUAAUUACAAGUACUAUGAAUGAGCAAUUGGAAGUCAUGCCAUCAAUAGUAGAAGUAAGGAAGACAGUUAUGGGGUUGAAUAAAAAUAGUGUUGGAGGAGCAGAUGGGAUGACAGGGGAUUUCUACCAGAGCACCUGGGAAAUAAUUGGAGAGGAUAUAUACAAAAUGGUCAAGGCCUUUGUAUGUGGCGCAGAACUGCCUCGAUAUAUCACAUACAAACCUGGUGCUCAUCCCUAAAAAAGUAGCAGUUAAUAAUUUCUUGGAUCUGAGACCUAUUUCACUGAGCAACUUUGUGAACAAGAUAUUUUCGAGAAUAGUCCAUGAAAGAAUCAAAGGUGUUUUACCAAUGAUUAUUUCUCCAGAGCAAGCGGAAUUCCUUUAGGGAAGAAGUAUUGCUGAGAAUAUAUUACUAGGGUAGGAAAUUGUUUCAGAGAUAGGAAAAAGAGGGAAAACACCUAAUCUAGUUAUUAAACUUGAUAUGAUGAAGGCGUAUGACAGAGUGGAGUGGUUGUAUCUAACCAAAGUACUAAGAAGGCUAGGUUUUGGGGAUAGAAUCAUUGAUAUGGUGUAUAGACUGAUUAGCUAUAAUUGGCACUCAAUUUUAGUGAAUGGACAACCCAAAGGUUUCUUUCAAUCAUCCAGAGGACUUAAGCAAGGAGACCCAUUAUUGCCUACUCUAUUCAUAUUGGUUGCAGAAGUGAUGUUGAGAUCCCUUAAUUCUCUCAUGCGGAAGAAGGAAUUUAAGAGGUUUGGUAUGCCUAGAGGGAGCCAAAUGUUAAAUCAUAUGGCUUUCGUAGAUGACAUGAUAAUAUUAUGCAAAGCAGAGGUGGGAACGAUGAACAUGAUAGGCGAGACUCUAAGGAAGUAUGAGGCGAUUUUAGGACAGAAAGUGAAUAAGGAUAAAAGUGCAAUAUACAUGCACCAUGGAGUUUCAGGGGGUGACGCAGUGGUGGCAAAAGUGGCUACAGGAAUUCUGAGAAAGGAUUUCCCUUUUACAGAUUUAGGAUGUCAUAUAUUUUACAAGAGGCAGCAAAAAGCGUAUUACCAGCAAUUGAUUCAAAGGACAGCGGCAAAGAUACAAGGAUGGAAGGUAAAAUUGUUAUCAUACGGGGGAAGGGCAAUACUAAUAAAACAUGUAUUGCAAAAUACUCUGAUCUAUUGUUUAUCAGUGAUGAACCCCCCUACUAAUGUAAUGACACAACUUCAAAGAAUGAUGGCUCAGUUCUUCUGGAGCAGCUGCAUUGGAGGAAGAGGUCGACAUUAGAGUAGCUGGAAUAACUUAUGCCUACCGGAGGAUAGAGGAUGAUUGGGGUUUCGAAUGAUCCAGGACAUCUCUGCAGCACUUUUCUGCAAGUUGUGGUGGAAUUUUCGAACAAAGAAGACACCUUGGAGUGACUAUAUGAUGAAUAAAUAUUGCAGGAAGAAGCACCCUAAUAUAGUAAUAUGGAAGAUGGGAGGGAGAGGAUCACAAGUCUGGAAAAAAUGAUGCAAGCUAGAGAGCAAGUUGAUCAUCAAAUCUUGUGGCAGCCUAGGCGAGGUACCUCAUCUGUAUGGCAUGACUACUGGACAGGUUUGGGAGAUCUUUACACCAUCACAGGGGAAGAAUUCGAAUGGGAUGACAGAUAUGAACGAUUAGAGGAUCUUACCAAGGAAGGAGAAUGGGACGAGGAAAUAGUAAGGGAAAUACUACCAGCAGAAUUGGCUGAGCAUAUCUUGAGGAACAUUAAACCUCCACGAGGGAGGACUGAGGAAGAUAGGGAAAGAUGGAAGCUGCAUACAAGGGGAAGCUUCUCAGUCAAGUCAGCAUGAAAUUAUAUUAGGCAUAAAGGGGAACCAAAUCGAAUAUACAAAUGGAUCUGGACAAAAAGAGUACCAUUCAAAAUGUCAUUUCUAAUGUGGAGACUAUGGAAAUUUAAGGUCCCGGUGGAUGAUAGAGUGAGGAGAUAGGGCAUUGAAGGUCCGUCGAGAUGUUGGUGUUGUAUUACACCGGAUCAAGAGACAUUAACACAUGUGUUCCUAAGAUCUGAUUAUGCUAACAUGACUUGGUCCUAUUUUUCUUCUUUUGCAGGUAUCAACAUAGCAAGACUAUCUCUAAGAGAAGUCAUUAUGCAAUGGUGGAGAGCAAAGUGCAGAUCGGAUAGUAAACCAUAUUAUAGAGCUCUUCCAAGCUUUAUAAUAUGGGAACUAUGGAAAAGAAGAAAUAGGAUAAAACAUGAAGGGAAAGGAAUAUCAAUACCAAGAAUUAUUCACAAUGUUUCUAGGAACAUGUACAUGUUGAUAAAGUUAAGAAGGCCACGCAUGCAAUAUUCAGGGCAAAUAUAUUUCAAGAGCUGGAAGAGUACAGCACACGCGUGAAUAUUGAGCUGGUCAGAUGGGAAUGUCCUCCUAAAGGGUGGGUUAAAUACAAUACCGAUGGGGAUUCUAGAGGAAACCCAGGGCUUAGCUCAUAUGUUUUUUGUCUAAGGGAUGAUAAAGGGGAUAUUAUACAUGCAGAGGGAUCAAAUAUUGAUAAUGUGACAAGUACAGAGGUAGAAGCGAAGGCAAUCCUAGAAGCAAGCAAACAUUGUAUGCAUAUGAAUCACAACCAAGUCAUCAUACAAACAGACUUUAUGCUACUAAACAAAGUCCUAAUAGGGGAGUGGGCAGUACCUUGGAAUAUAUAUGAUACAGUGGAAGAAAUAAGGUCGUGUCUACUAGGAAAACAACACAAAUUUCAGCACAUAAUGAGGGAAGGAAAUCAGUUAGCGGAUCAUCUUGCAAGCAGGUCUAUAGAGAAGGGCAGAUACAUAUUCACAGAUUUUAAAAGCAUGGAUACAUAUGAAAGAAGGAUCCUGAACAAUGACAAAUUAAAUAUCCCAUAUAUGCGAGUUUCACCUUGUAGGGGAUAACGGGAAAAAUGAGACUACUACAGAGUACUGUCUACAUAUAAACCACCAUUUACAAAAUGCCAAAAUGCAACAUGAAUGUGAAAUGCAUCCUAGACUAGACUAUAUUAGCCAUCUAAAAUGGACUCGACAACAAGGAGUUGGGAUCAGGUGGAAGCGAAUACACCUGGAAGGAGCAUAAAUCAAUGACAUGUGGAGGAGGAAUCACUCCAUUCUAGCAUCACCAGAAAAAAUGACGAGAUCAAAAAUCCAGGGUGGAAAAGCAUAACAGAAGAGUAUGGAGGACGAACCGAUUAACUUCACUCAUUCCUUUGACCAAGAUCCAGUAGGCAAGAGGAAAGCUCCACUAGAGAGCACAUCUACAUAAGAAGAGAAAUCACAAGGAGGAAACACAGAACAAAGGACAAAGGAGGAGGAUGUAUACUUACUUUUGUGAGAUGAACAGCAAACAAUAUUUGAGAAUCAAUUCAAAGGCAUUGAUGACCAAAAUCAAGAGGAGGCGAAGGAGACGAAUAUGCCACGGAGGAAGCAUCUUCAGAAGGGUGGGGUUGGUGAGACUAGGGAAAGAGUUUUUCAGGAAACCCUACACUUAAGGAAAGUAUAAUAGUGCAG
rnacentral:lncRNA from 1 species